AGAGAGAGAGAUGUGCAAGUGACGAACAAAUAGGGAGCCAGGGAGGAGAAGAGACCCAAUAAUGACCUGAUGAGACAAACUGUCAUAAUAUAUACUAGCAUCUUGACCCGCAUAAUAUGCGUGUAUGUAUUUUUUUACUAUUACAGUUAUGCUCAAAGUCUUAUUUCCCUCCCACCUUCCACGUUUUAAGUUUCUUUUUUUCUUUUUUUUUUUCUUGUUUCCAACAUUUGCAAUUACUAAUUUGUCUUUCAUCUGUUAGAAGACAGAUUUUAAAGUUUUAAUCAAUCAACAGUAUUUUAUAGGUAGUUUAAAAAUUUAACCGUUCACAAAGUCAAAAAAAACUUUUUGGUUUUAUUAAUAGAGAUUAUAUUUGUUUUUGCAUAGAGCAUAGCUAGAAACCAUGCUUGUGGUCUGGUGGUCAGUAGCUUGUUUUGUUAAGUGAGGUGGGAAGGGUUCGAGCCUCAGCAAGGUAAGAUUUUUUAUUUAAUUAUUUCCAGAAACUUUUACCAAGUCCUAGGGCAGAUUGGACAUUUUGUUCAAAAGUGGGCUAUGUUGUUGGUGAAAAGUCAGUAUGUGACGUCAUAGUUGGAGUCUUAUCCCUUGGUUGGCAUGAUAUAAAUUAAUUGGAGAUAACUUGGGUGACCAGCUAUGGUUAUUUAUGGGUGACAAACACCAAUGGGAGAUGGAUAAGAGUUAACAAUAAUUAUAAACAAACAUGCCAAAUACCCAAAACCCCCUGAUUAUGUCUUUAAAUUACAGCCAAACCUUUUAAAAUGGACACGUGUCUCGUGUUCAUUGGUUGUGGUCACCUUAAGGUGACACCGAAGUCGGAUUCAAAUUAAUUUAUGUGUGCAUAUAUAUAUAGUAACAGCUUAUGCAUGAGAAACUAAUGCAUGAACAAAUAGAUACAUACGUUGGGAUAAAUUAAUGCCAUUGAUUAAAAUUUGGUUGGAAUUUUGGAUCCGGAAUUGCCAACCAGCAGCUUUUGCUGGUCUCCAUGACCAACCAAUCAAAGAGAGAGAGAGAAGAGAGAAGAGAGAAGAGAGAGAGAGAGAGAGAGAGAGAGAGAGAGAGAG
rnacentral:lncRNA from 1 species